rnacentral:rRNA from 1 species
AUUGAACGCUGGCGGCAGGCCUAACACAUUCAAGUCGAACGAGUGGCGGACGGGUGAGUAAUGUAUGGGAAACUGCCUGAUGGAGGGGGAUAACUACUGGAACCGGUAGCUAAUACCGCAUACCAUCAGAUGUGCCCAGAUGUGAUUAGCUUGUUGGUGGGGUAACGGCUCACCAAGGGGACGAUCCCUAGCUGGUCUGAGAGGAUUACCAGCCAUACUGGAACGGAGACACGGUCCAGACUCCUACGGUAGGCAGCAGUGGGGAUUAUUGCACAAUGGGCGCAAGCCUGAUGCAGCCAUGCCGCGGGUAUGAAGAAGGCCUUCGGGUUGUAAAGUACUUUCAGCGGGGAGGCGUUACCCGCAGAGGAAGCACCGGCUAACUCCGUGCAAGCCGCCGCGGUAAUUC